rnacentral:rRNA from 1 species
UACGAAGGGUGCAAGCGUUACUCGGAAUUACUGGGCGUAAAGCGUGCGUAGGUGGUUCGUUAAGUCUGAUGUGAAAGCCCUGGGCUCAACCUGGGAAUGGCAUUGGAAACUGGCGACCUAGAGUGCGGUAGAGGGUAGUGGAAUUCCCGGUGUAGCAGUGAAAUGCGUAGAGAUCGGGAGGAACACCGAUGGCGAAGGCAGCUCGCUGGGACGGUACUGACGCUGAGGCGCGAAAGCGUGGGGAGCAAACAGG